AAAGAUAUUAAAAUUUUUUUCUGUGACGAAGAAAAACUCAAAUUUGAAAAUGUUUCCUCUACUGCAGUAUUUCAACAGGGUUGUCACAUGUCAGAGAAUUCUGGGAAAAGUCAGAUGUAGAGAAUAAAAAAGGUACUUCGAUCAAUAAGAAAUGAUUUAUUAAUUAUUUCAACUACUGAAAAAUCAAAAAAGGGUCGAAAUUUUCCCAUUAAUACUUGGAUUGGAUUUUUAAAAAUAAAUUUUGGCCUGCAUUUUCAAUUUUAAACAACAAAAUAAUUCACAAGAUGAAGGAGCAGAAGCAGUGGGAGCAAUGCAUCAUAUUGCGUCAACGAAGAUAAUCAGCUACUGGAGUAUGGCGAGGCGGCGCCAAAGGAGGAGCAAAACCACGUCGAAAACUGGUGCUUCCAGACUCUGGGGAAAAUUAAGCCACAUUCCUACUGUGACAACCUUGCCAAGGCAUGGUCCAUGCUUCGACCAUGGUACAUCCUUCAGCGAGUUAUGGCUCGCUAAAGAAAAUUGACUUGAAUCCACGCCAGGAUAAUAAAAGCGCUUCACUACACGCGAUAUGGUAAAGACACCGGCGAGAAGAAAUGAAAAGAAGACACAUUAUACACUUUUGUUACCCCCGAAAAAUUCUUAACAUUCACUAUAAGCGGUCAUAUCGAUGGGAAUUUUAACCUCUUUGUGUAAGUAAAUUUUGUUUAUUAAAAUUUACUUUAUUGUUAUAGUCGUUUAACUUUAAUUAAUCUUUAAUUUCAAG